UUAACUUUUUUUUAAAAAUUCAGAAGACUCUAAAUACAAUAUUUUGUGUUAACCUUCCGGCCAGGCUAUACAGCUAACUAUACAGCCCAAACAGCCGGAAGCAACAGGUAGUUUAGACAAGGGGUUUGAAAUGUAUACUCAAAUGAAUAUAUAUUACUUUUAAUGAUCCUUCCGCAGGUUCACCUACGGAAA
rnacentral:misc_RNA from 1 species